CCAAGUGGCACAUAUUCUCAGAGCGAAAAUGGCCAUGGGGGGCAGCCUCCCAAGCAUGGAUUUCCUCGUUAUGAAAUGAGAGCGCACAGAAGGAAAGCUCAUCGCUGAUGGAUGUUUGCUCCCCUACUAACAUCGAGAUUUACGAGUUUGACCUCCUGCAUGUGUUUGUGCCAGAUGCCGAAACUAAAAUAAUUUCGCAAAACUAGCCACAGCUAUGUUGAUCUGAUCACCACUGAACAGAAGGGGGGAAAAAUCACAAAUACACAGAGCUCUCUGGGGCUUUGAGAACGUAUCUAACCCGCUCUUCACGAACAGGAGCUGGUGUGUACCGAAGUCACUCCUCCACGAUGCUCACCUCGUCCCAUUUCUGACUAAGGCCAAGGACAGCUCACAGAUCUGGGAUACUCCUACUUGGAAGAAAUUCCUUUCUUGAAUUCAAAGGCAGAAAGUCCAAGUUCCACAAUCUCCUCUUCUUACGUCAAUAGAGUCAAAGACAAACUUUCCUGACUCCUUGAGACGACCAUUGUGUUUCCACGUGGGAUCUGAAGUACAGACCAUCCCUCCAGCCAUCAGUGGGAUACAGUGCUUACAUCAUAAGCUGUGUGAUGCUGGAGAAAGGGAGCAGCUUCAGGAAAAGGAAACUUCUGUCUCCACCAUCCCAAGCUGACUUAUCUGGUACAAGUUCUGUCCCCUCUG